rnacentral:rRNA from 1 species
GCUUGUCUCAAAGAUUAAGCCAUGCAUGUCUAAGUAUAAGCAUUAUACAGUGAAACUGCGAAUGGCUCAUUAUAUCAGUUAUAGUUUAUUUGAUAGUCCCUACUACUUGGAUAACCGUAGUAAUUCUAGAGCUAAUACAUGCGUCAAACCUCGACUUCUGGGAGAGGUGUAUUUAUUAGAUGGAAACCAAUGCGGGGCAACCCGGAUUAUGGUGAUUCAUAAUAACUUUCAGAUCGAUCGCAAGAUCGAUGCAUCAUUCAAGUUUCUGCCCUAUCAGCUUUGGAUGGUAGGGUAUUGGCCUACCAUGGCUUUAACGGGUAACGGAGAAUUAGGGUUCGAUUCCGGAGAGGGAGCCUGAGAAACGGCUACCACAUCCAAGGAAGGCAGCAGG